GCCUGGCUGGCUGAGUUGGUAGAACAUGUGACUCUUAAUCUCGGGGCUUGUGGGAUUAAGCCCCAUGUUAGGCA
rnacentral:tRNA from 1 species